rnacentral:rRNA from 1 species
UGGGGAAUAUUGCGCAAUGGGCGAAAGCCUGACGCAGCAACGCCGUGUGAGGGAUGAAGGCUUUCGGGUCGUAAACCUCUGUCGGAAGGGAAGAACGGGCAUUGGUCUAAUAGGCCUUUGUUUUGACGGUACCUUUAGAGGAAGCACCGGCUAACUCCGUGCCAGCAGCCGCGGUAAUACGGAGGGUGCAAGCGUUAGUCGGAAUUACUGGGCGGAAAGCGCACGUAGGCGGCUUCGUAAGUCAGGGGUGAAAUCCCACGGCUCAACCGUGGAACUGCCUUGGAAACUGCAAAGCUUGAAUCCUGGAGAGGGUGGCGGAAUUCCUGGUGUAGGAGUGAAAUCCGUAGAUAUCAGGAGGAACACCGGUGGCGAAGGCGGCCACCUGGACAGGUAUUGACGCUGAGGUGCGAAAGUGUGGGGAGCAAACA